rnacentral:rRNA from 1 species
GACGAAGGAUGCAAGCGUUAUCCGGAUUCAUUGGGUUUAAAGGGCGCGUAGGUGGCCUUAUAAGUCAGUGGUGAAAUCUCUGGGCUUAACCCAGAAAUUGCCAUUGAUACUGUAGGGCUUGAGUAUAGUUGCCGUUGGCGGAAUAUGACAUGUAGUGGUGAAAUACAUAGAGAUGUCAUAGAACACCGAUUGCGAAGGCAGCUGACGAAACUAUAACUGACACUGAGGCUCGAAAGUGCGGGGAUCAAACAGG